CAGCAAAAUUAUCUGGGCACAUGUCACCAGUGACCUUUGGCAGACAGGGUGGAGCAGAGAGCUGUGUAUGAGCCAAGACCUGAUGUCAUUGAGGAAGGUAAAGUGAGGCUGGGGAGGCUGAUGGUAAAGACAGCAGCAUAGGCAGGUGGUUCCCCCUGUGAAAAAGGAGAAGGGUGCAGACUGUGGGUGUCUGAACAACGGUGGUUUGUGCCGUCCGCAGAGCUGCAAGUCAUCACCCGCCCCUCCUCC
rnacentral:lncRNA from 1 species